GCCAGGCAUGGUGGCACAUGGCUAUAGUCCCAGCUACUCGGGAGGCUGAGAUGGGAGGAUCGCUUGAGCCCAGGAGUCCUGGGCUGUAGUGCGCUAUGCCAAUCUGGUGUCCGUACUAAGUUCGGCAUCAAUAUGGUGACCUCCCGGGAGCGGGGGACCACCAGGUUGCCUAAGGAGGGGUGAACUGGCCCAGGUCAGAAACGGAGCAGGUCAAAACUCCCGUGCUGAUCAGUAGUGGGAUCGCGCCUGUGAAUAGCCACUGUACUCCAGCCUUGGCAACAUAGCGAGACCCCGUCUCU
rnacentral:SRP_RNA from 1 species